AUCCGACGGAUGGUCUUAUUUGCGUUGUAAGCCAUCCAAUAUUACAAUGAGACAACUCUCAAGCACGAAUCAACUACUUCUCAAAGAAAAACCAUCCAAGCAAAUGUUACAUCUUGCAUAUGCAUCACAAUAUUACACUCACAUCACAAUAGUCACACCUUCCGUCUUGGGUCCGUGCAGCAGAAGCACAGGAGUUGAUGUUGUACUCCACGCAUAUAACAAGGUCCUCGUUCUUUCUCUCAUCGUACAAUGCCGUCGAGGCGUUGGCAUCGGCCAACAGCUGAUGAGGACGACCUGCAUGCGGAUCGGAAUUGAAUCUCUUUCAGUGCUAGCUCAUCAAACAUCAGUACUCACUUUCACAAAUUAUUCCAAGUUAAUACUAAAAUACAUGAAUCAUACAGUAAACAAAUAGCUAGCUGAUCUGAGCGAGUAUGUCUACUUACAGUGUGCUUGCAUUGCUAGGGUUCCAGAAAGCACUGAUGCGCCUCAUGCUGGAUCGAUACGAUCUUUUCUGCAGCAGCUGAACUGUACGUAUCGAUGGUAGUCGCAGGAAGUGGGCAAUGAGGAGGCCGGGAGGAUCAGGAAUUCAGGAUGGACGACUUGAGCAAGGAGGAGGAUGACUGCUACUGGACGAGGGAUUAUUCAUUCCUUGAUCGCCCUUGGCUAGCUUAAUUAUAUAGAGGUACGCGUACGUAGAACAUGCCUGCAGGGCAGUGAUUGAUUAGGGUUAUAUCGAUGAGCUCGAUCCUGACAGCUAUUGGCAAUUGAUUUGUUUGGAUUGCUUUCCAAUGCAAUUUCCGUUGCAUGCAGCAAAUCAAUAGGCUACUAAUUGAUAGGAGUAACUGCUGAAAUUAGCACUGGAUCCAAACGCCCUACAGUACUAGUAAGCUAAUAGCCCAAAUAUUUUCCCAACGAAAAGGCCAUUAGCUACAGUAGCAGGUAACAAUUAGCAUCGAUUGGGCCUUCUGGGCCGGAACACGGGGGCAGUGAGGGGGUAGGGCGGCAGGCCGAUUGGGCCCGGGAGCGGAGGGGAAAGGGCACAGCAGAUUGGGUCCAAAACCGAUUCUACAAAUUGAUUUAGCAUUUGCCUUUUAGAUCCUACAAAUUCAAACUUGAGUGCCUAGUCGUCGCCCAGACUCGCUUGACCGGGUGACGACUGACAACGGUGGUGCCGUGCAGGAGGUAGCCAAUGCAGAUUGCAAUGAGGAGCGGCCGGGAGGGAGGCGCCCGCCAGGCCAGAACGCCGAUAGGCCAUGAGCGACGGCAUCAACGUCAUCGGAUUGAAUGAUUGAUCCUCUCAGCACGUACGCCAUCAACUCCAGGCCGGGCGGUCACGGGAUAGAUAGAUAGCGCAGGCUAGGGCGGCGUGGGCUCCGCUCAUGGCUAGCGGACGCCGCCGCCGCCGCCCACGUCGCUUCAGGUCACUUGAGGAGACCACUGACACCAGCAGGUUUUGGUCUCUGUUCGAGCGCAGCAGCAGCCACCACUGCCAAAGGCAGAAGCGUUGACAAGCUCGCUCAGCCCAGGACGAUGGUCGCAGAUUAGUUUCUUCCCUUAAUCAAGACAAGGAUUGCUUGCAUUCAUAAUGAGCUGCAUGCCAUGAUUAAUCAGUAUGUGCGGAGGUGGUUCAAGCGGCCAACCCAAAGGCCGGCCUUGGCUGGUUGCCUGGUUGGUACAAGUAUUUCCUGAUGGAGAAAACAAGCCGUCACCCUCAGCUUUUCCAGUCUCCGUCUCUUUCCCCUCUUUUUUUUCUUCUCUCUCGAAAGUGGCGUGGAGUACCGUAUUCGUUACUGCAAUCAGAGGGCCGCGAACAAGACGAAAAGCAGAGGGUUUUCCAACUCUGCUUGUAGGCCGGCCGACCCGGUUGUGGUUUUUUCUAAAUCUGCAAAGCUGCUUUCUAAAGGUUUUUUCUACUUACUGCGUGUAGGAGGAUCGCAGUCCCAGCAACGCGACGCUUCUGGUGCAAGUUCUCGCCGUUAGCUAUUAGCUAGCAGCUUCUGCAACUUGGGAACUUGGCUGGGACCAUGCAUACCCAAGCUUCGGCCAUGCGGUGUCCCGGUGAUUGGCUCCAGCAUGUGGUCGUCGGAGCUGAUGACAAGUGCGCUUGACCGCCCUGGAUUGGAUCCAGAGACGAGGGAGGACGAGGAGCAGACGAGACGACCAACAUGUGACUCACCAUUGCACCUGCAUGUUUCUCUGAAACCAGAUCUCCUCGGUCUGGCCUCCUGUGCUGCACCCUCCCAAUCUAGCCCUAUACUAUAAACUAUAAAGCCGACCCGAUCCUCUUGCCCACCUGCAUUGCAUCCGUUUCUUUUCCUGCUCGAGAUGGAUGCUGUUCAAGAGCAUUUUUUUAGAACCCUUUCCAUCAGCUGACGAUUGCAUGCUCAAGUAGUAGCAGGAGCGUGAAAAAGGGCGGGAACAGUGAGAGACAGAAAGCCGAGCUCUUUCCAAUGCUAAAGCAGAGAGAUCUCUUCAUUCGUUCUUCGCCCCUGACCCUGAAAGAAAGAAAGAAUCUCCACACGCACACCCUUUUGCCGGCCACAAAAGGCAAGGAAUGAACAACUGGUAGUGCCCAGCUGCCGAAUAACUUGUGCAAGGGUAUAACACUAACAUUCUGCCCCGCCCUGCACGCCCGGUUAUCAUCUCCCAUCUUAUACCAUUCCAUUUCGACACCAUUUUUUUCUCCCUUCCCCAUUGGACGUCGACAGGUCCCGGAGGCAAAGAAUCUCGAGAGGAUUGAUUGCCGCAUCAAAUCAGUGCACAGAUCUUCUCCUCCUCCUGGGCCCUAACUCCAACUAAGAUAGACCGGCCAGGAGGAGAAGAUACUACACGAGCGAGCGAGAGAGCUCGCAAAUAGGAGUGCAUCGUCGUGCCAAGCCGCCUCCUUGUCUUGCUCGCACAAGCGUCCCUGUCGGGAGUCCAGAUUGGCUCCUCGCCGGAAUCGCGUGCGGCCGCACGGAACGGACCUGCAGUAAAGCUAGCGCCGCGCCGAACCCAAUCAAUCAUACCUCCGCUCGUCAGGCGGUUGCCGCCGCCGUACUCGUCAUGAAGAACCAGCCGGCGCCACCGCCAGAUGCUCCAGGAGACGCCGCCGCCGGCGGGCGCGGGGCAGGAGGAGCGCAUGAGCCGCCGGGCGCCAAACCCACCGCGCCUCUGCCAAGGUUCGUUUCGUUUGGUUCCGGUCACUCCAUACGGUUCGGUUCGGUUCGUUCAGCCAGGGCCCAUGCACGCACGGAUGCUGCACCGAAAGGAAAGCAAUCAAACCAAUCCAUGAAUGGUCAGUGAAUCCGAUCCCAGGUUGUUACUCCCAGCCAACUGUACGUCCUGCUAUGCGCUAUCUCCUGGACCUACGGUCCUACGCGUGCAGGCAGGCAGGCAGCAUCCGGAUCCAGCCAGCCAAGGCAUCCAUGGCGCAGGGGCAGUGGCCGCCCACCAUUAAAGAAGCAGCAGAGAGAGAAACCGCAUGACGCUACUACAUAUACCGCUCCUGCCUCUCCCUCGCACCUCUCGCUUGCUCGCUCCCCCCUCCCCCGGCCCGUUUCCCCUCGCGCCUACCGGCCGGCGGCGCUCACCCAAGUCCGUGUGGUCUGUUUUGCAAGGAGAGCAGGGCGGGGAUGAUGAGGCAGCGGCCGGCCGCGCUGUGGGCGGGCGCCCUGGUGGCGGUGCUGGCGCUGCUUGCGGCGUGCACGGCGGCGGCGGCGGUGACCAUCACGCGUCGGCAGCACCAGCGCGGCGCGUCGGCGGCAUCGGCGCGGUCGUCGUGCGACGCGUUCGCGGCGGGGCGGUGGGUGGCGGACGCGUCGUACCCGCUGUACGACUCGUCGCGGUGCCCCUUCAUCCGCGACGAGUUCGCGUGCGCCCGCUUCGGCCGCCCCGACACCGCGUACCUCAAGUACCGGUGGCAGCCCGACCCGCCGUGCGCGCAGCCCAGGUAAUGCGUGUUCUUCUUCUGAUCUUCUUGCUCUUCCCGAUCGGAAUUCGCACGCCCUGGCGAAUGAGUGCGAUGCGAGACGUGUUUUACGUUGGAAAGAGAUUGUGACUGCGACUGCUCACCGCUGGUGUGGAUUUUGAAUGGGUGAACUGAAGGUUC
rnacentral:lncRNA from 1 species